rnacentral:lncRNA from 1 species
ACCCAAACCGAGUCGACCCAACCCAAGCCUAUACACACGCAUAUACGAUGGAGAAGACAGUAGAGAGGGCUGAAAAAUUGAAGGGCGCAGCUGGGGCUGCUUCUUCUGAAAAAUACAAAAACACAAUACACAGAUACACGGGAGACGCUGGGAAUUGAAGAAGCUGCGCAGCUUUGGCUGCUGCUUCACAUACAACACACGCUGAUACACAACAGAAGAGAAGCGGCGCAGCUUUUGAAGACAACCCUCACAGGACCAGCGACGCAACACCAGAGAAACGACCCCAGCCCCCUUUCCCGUAUUCUUCAAACCCCCCUGGUUCUGUAACGUUCGACGGUCCCAAACGACCCCUGCUGUUUCUUCCAUUUUUUCCAUUCAGGACAGCACCGGUAAACACGCACACACGUACAACUGACUGGGAAUACAGCAGAAACAGUGACAAUACAUGAGAGUUUUCCAGUCGUCGAGCCGUUGAGGUCGUCACCGAAGUUCCGCUCAUCGAUCUCUGUUCGUUUCCAAAUCUGUUUGCUUCCGCCUGAGCUAAUCUUUUGCUGGCUUAUGCUGCUUGUGUAAUUGCUGAACACUUCCGCUAAAUUGGAAGCUUGAUUUUCAGGUUCAUAAUCUAUUUUUCCCAUAUUAUUUAAUUUUGUUAGAUUUCCGUUACCUGUACUCUGUUUUACUUUCAUGCCUAAGGUCCGAAUUUGUUUUGCUUGGAGAUAUUGGGAUUGCCAUGUGAUGUGAUUUUUGUGAUGACUGAGUUAGUGUUCAGAUCCGUCCAGCCUCACAUGAAUAUACCGCAUGUUUGAUUGGUUUUCUUGGUUGAAUUUCAAUUGAGUCGAGUUUGAAGUUGUCCUAACUCACUUGUCGAUGUAGAUGUUAGUGGUAAAACGACUUACUGCUUGUAUUGAGGAAACAUUAGUUUUAGAAAAAAACCUUGCUUCUUCAAUGAAUGAUAGUGUAUUUUGUUUCAUCCCUGUAUUGAGGAAACAUUAGUUUUGGAAAACAACCUUGCUGCUUGAAUGAUUGAGAGUGUAUUUUCUUUCAUCCGUGUAUUUGCUGUAAUCUUCGUUAAUUAAAGACCAUCGAAGGUUCAGUUCUUCUUUCCUCUUAAUGUAGUCUUUAAUUAUUUGUGAAUACAAGUAAAAUGGAAGUUGUUUGAAUUAGUUGGUCUGUUCGCUUUAUAUGUUAUCGCCUCAGCUAUUUGGAUUAGAACUUGGUUUUUGAUCCAUGUAUUGUUGGUUCAAGGAGGACUCUUGUGAUUCCUGAUUGAAUCUGGAUCCUUUUAGGUUUGUGUUUUUCUGUCGUUGAGCUCCUGAGUUGUUGUUGCUUCGCUAAAUGCGUUUACAUGAUUCAAUGGGAAGUUACUGAGAUGUUCAUGUAAUAAUGUGCACAAAUGCUCACUGAUGAACACGCUGGAUUUCUGUUCCAUUUUGAGCGGAUUUGUCACCAGUUCUCAAACUUUCAUUGGCAUAUUUGUUGUAUCUCUCGCUCAGCAACAGAGAACAACGGAGGGAGCUUCCAUUUUCUUCACAACGCUUGAACCUCAACUACAACCUAGCUGCAAAACAGAGUGCCUGAGCUCCAGCUUCAAAAUUUAUACCUUAUUCAGUCACUCUUCUGUUGAUUUUGUUUAAGGUAUGCCAUACUCAUCUAUGACCCUUUGUCCAAUUCAUAAUUGAAAGAAUAUGAAUUUAUUCGUGUUACUGGAUUGUUUGAUUUCGUGGAGCCCUCACGUUCAGCUUUUAAAGUUGUUUACUGAUGUUCUCUUUGGCAUUUACUGCCACAUGUGUGUUUGAAUAACCAAUCAUUUCAAGUUUUGAACUUAUGAUAUUUGGUUGGGAUUUGAUGAAAUAGUGUUAUUAUUAUGAUAGUUUAAUUACAUCGAUGGGCGGAUCUACAUAUAAAAUUUGGGUGCUCGAGCACCCAUUAAUCUCGACCCCGAACACGUAUAAUUAUAUAAAAAAUUUAAAAAAUCGGAUAUAACAAAAUAGCAAGCAUCCAGAUAACAAAAGGCUUGGUGGGUGUGUUGGUUAUGAUGGAUGUUGAAGGGCUCUAAAUGAGUAUAUAGUCGAGAGAUCGAAUCUCACUCACGCCCCUAGCUAGACUUUUUCCUCCAUUUAUCAAGCACUANNN